AGGUUAUCGUACCAAACAAAUUUAUUUAAUAUCUUUCACAUGUUCAACUCCGAAGAAUUAUUGAUGAGCUCCAAAAUUGAAAAUGUAACUUAAUAAAUGGAUAUUUUCGACUAAUUGAAAAGAAAAGAUGAAGUUCAACAUAUUAGAUAUCCAGUUCAGUUGUCUUGAUAUUAAUAUUAUGCUCAGUAAUUGCAGCAAGGUAUCAACACGCUCUUGGUAACAUCCCACGAAACCAACCCACAUGCAGCCAAGACCAUGUUUCUGAAUACAAAUAGAUGCUUAUAAAGAUACUGCUUGGUAAUAUUAUAAGGUGUCUAAUAUGAUAGGCAUUCAUGUAGUGCCUUAGUAUGGCUCCACUGGUGCUCUGAACUUUGCUCCAGCAUAGACUGCAGCCGAUCCCAACUCUUCUUCUAUCCUAAGAAGCUGAUUGUACUUUGCAAGACGUUCUGAUCUGCAAGGAGCUCCAGUCUUGAU
rnacentral:misc_RNA from 1 species